UCAAACGCUGUGAUCAGGAAGAGUAUCUUCUAUUCAUCGCUUAUAGAGAAAGGUUGGUUGGUGCAAAACCUGAAGCGGAAAGAUGAGAAAAUCACCUGGGAGCGGAUCUUCUGAACGAUGUAGUAAGAAGAUACGUGAUUUCACGUUACGGAAAUAGGAUAUAUCAGAAGAAAUGUUUCUUCCUGUAUCUGAAGAUUUAUAUUUAGGUGGUAUAGCGAGACCUCGCCCUAUUU
rnacentral:ncRNA from 1 species